UACGGAGGAUGCAAGCGUUAUCCGGAAUGAUUGGGCGUAAAGCGUCCGCAGGUGGCUAUGUAAGUCUGCUGUUAAAGAGUGAGGCUCAACCUCAUAAGAGCAGUGGAAACUACAUGGCUAGAGUGCGUUCGGGGCAGAGGGAAUUCCUGGUGUAGCGGUGAAAUGCGUAGAUAUCAGGAAGAACACCGGUGGCGAAAGCGCUCUACUGGGCCAUAACUGACACUCAGGGACGAAAGCUAGGGGAGCGAAUGGG
rnacentral:rRNA from 1 species